AACGCUAGCUACAGGCUUAACACAUGCAAGUCGAGGGGAAACGACAUCGAAAGCUUGCUUUUGAUGGGUGUCGACCGGCGCACGGGUGAGUAACGCGUAUCCAACCUGCCCACCACUUGGGGAUAACCUUGCGAAAGUAAGACUAAUACCCAAUGACGUCUCUAGAAGACAUCUGAAAGAGAUUAAAGAUUUAUCGGUGAUGGAUGGGGAUGCGUCUGAUUAGCUUGUUGGCGGGGUAACGGCCCACCAAGGCGACGAUCAGUAGGGGUUCUGAGAGGAAGGUCCCCCACAUUGGAACUGAGACACGAUCCAAACUCCUACGGGAGGCAGCAGUGAGGAAUAUUGGUCAAUGGGCGAGAGCCUGAACCAGCCAAGUAGCGUGCAGGAAGACGGCCCUAUGGGUUGUAAACUGCUUUUAUAAGGGAAUAAAGUGAGUCUCGUGAGACUUUUUGCAUGUACCUUAUGAAUAAGGACCGGCUAAUUCCGUGCCAGCAGCCGCGGUAAUACGGAAGGUCCGGGCGUUAUCCGGAUUUAUUGGGUUUAAAGGGAGCGUAGGCCGGAGAUUAAGCGUGUUGUGAAAUGUGGGCGCUCAACGUCUGCACUGCAGCGCGAACUGGUUUCCUUGAGUACGCACAAAGUGGGCGGAAUUCGUGGUGUAGCGGUGAAAUGCUUAGAUAUCACGAAGAAC
rnacentral:rRNA from 1 species